UACGGAGGGUGCAAGCGUUGUCCGGAUUUAUUGGGUUUAAAGGGUGCGUAGGCGGCUUUUUAAGUCAGCGGUGAAAGCCGGUCGCUCAACGACCGAACUGCCGUUGAUACUGAUUAGCUUGAGUUUGAUUGAGGUAGCCGGAAUGGAUAGUGUAGCGGUGAAAUGCAUAGAUAUUAUCCAGAACGCCAAUAGCGUAGGCAGGUUACUAAGUCUCAACUGACGCUGAGGCACGAAAGUGCGGGGAUCAAACAGG
rnacentral:rRNA from 1 species